rnacentral:misc_RNA from 1 species
GAUGAAGAACGCAGCGAAAUGCGAUAAGUAAUGUGAAUUGCAGAAUUCAGUGAAUCAUCGAGUCUUUGAACGCACAUUGCGCCCCCUGGUAUUCCGGGGGGCAUGCCUGUCCGAGCGUCAUUGCUGCCCUCAAGCACGGCUUGUGUGUUGGGCCCCCGUCCCCGGUUUCCCCCGGGGACGGGCCCGAAAGGCAGCGGCGGCACCGCGUCCGGUCCUCGAGCGUAUGGGGCUUUGUCACCCGCUCUGUAGGCCCGGCCGGCGCCAGCCGACACCCAACUUUAUUUCUAAGGUUGACCUCGGAUCAGGUAGGGAUACCCGCUGAACUUAAGCAUACAAUAAGCGGAGGA